GCCUCCGUAGCUCAGGUGGUUAGAGCGGCUGAUUUGUAAUCAGCAGGUCGUGGGUUCGAAUCCUACCGGGGGCU
rnacentral:tRNA from 3 species